rnacentral:siRNA from 1 species
UCUGGGUAGUGAAUAGGUUUC